GGAGGGGAUGUGGCAGGUAGCCCCUGUUCACUUGCUGUAAGAUAAGUGUUUUAGUAUUUCAGCCACCCUUAGGCACAACUCAGCCAGGCCUAGGAAGCAACCCAACGUCAUUGCCAUGAACCAUUUACACAAGUCACACCAAAAUCAACUGACACAUUUUUUUCCUGAUGGAACAGUUAAAAAAACAAAAAACUAUACAGUCAAAGUCUGGGGUUGAAGAGCGUGAAGUUCACAGCUCCUCCACACACGCCCAACUGAGCAUGCUCAUCCUGUGAGGGGGAACCAGAGCCUUCCUGUAAACCAUGAGAGCUUACCAAUGUCUGGUAUACAAAAUAUUCUGGCCCAUAAACUCAACCUGUUUUUGAGGGGUAGGGGAUUUUCCAUCUUGUACAUAAAGAAAGAAAUCUGGGUAUCCUUCAGGUUAGAAAGGCAUUCUGUAAGAAUAGUGUUCCAGAGUUACAAAUCAUACUGGUAAGAGAAAAGCAAUUCUUCCUCUUGGGGAAAAAGAGGAAAAGAAAGAAGAAAAGAGAAAAAAGAAAAAAGGGGGAAAAAAGAAAGCCUAUCAAUGCUUAAUCUGUUCUUUCAUUCCCACUGUAAAUCACAUCAAUACAUUUGGUGAAACUGCAACGGACCACCAUUUACAAGGUAGUUGAAUGCAGAAACCGAAACGAUUAUGCCCCCUCCCCACUCUAAAGGAAAAGACACAGAGUACAUUUCACAUAUUCAGAGAGUGGCUCAGUGGGCUCUUUCAAGCCUCAUCAAUCCUGUCCCCCUGCUCAGAACAACACUUCCUUUUCUGUAGCAGUUCCACAGGCCCUCUUGGCCCUUCUGCUCCAGCCCUUUCUGGAACCAGGAAUCAUUGCCAAUAUUCAACGUUCCUGCACUAGGAGAACCUCAGGCCCUCUUCCUGGGAAGACCAAACCCCCUUGAGUGCUCCUCCUGCUUCAGACGGAGGUGACAGUCCUCACUUUGGCAGAGAGGGCUUGCUUAAACCUCCUCUUCAGGUCCUGCAUGUUGGGUGACUUGGGCCUGGGAAUGAGGGAGGUUCUUCGCUUCUCGGGUGUACUGCUAGCUGCAGUCCAAGCUGAGGGUCAACCUGUUUGAUGUGCAACAGGUCAGCUUUGUUGGCCACGACCACCACAGGCAGCCGGGUGCCCAGGUGUAGCUGCUGCACGUGCUGGUGGAGCUGGCUGAUGAGUUCAUAGCUCUUGUAGUCAGUGAUGGAGAAAACGAUCACCACAGCAUCUGCCCAGCGAAUGCACCUAUUCAGCUGUUCACUGCAGCUCAGGCUGUUCUCAUGGACCUGA
rnacentral:lncRNA from 1 species